GACGAACGCUGGCGGCGGGCUUAACACAUGCAAGUCGAACGAGCGGCGGACGGGUGAGUAAUGUAUGGGGACGGCCCGAGAGAGGGGGGUAACUACUGGAAACGGUGGCUAAUACCGCAUACGUUCGGAUAACCCAUAUGGGAUUAGCUAGUAGGUAAGGUAAUGGCUUACCUAGGCGACGAUCCCUAGCUGGUCUGAGAGGAUGAUCAGCCACACUGGGACUGAGACACGGCCCAGACUCCUACGGAGGCAGCAGUGGGGAAUCUUGCGCAAUGGGCGAAAGUCUGAUGCAGCAACGCCGCGUGUAUGAAGAAGGUCCUAGGGUUGUAAAGUACUUUCAGUCGGGAGGCGUUACCUACAGAAGAAGCCCCGGCUAACUCCGUGCCAGCAGCCGCGGUAAUUC
rnacentral:rRNA from 1 species